GGGGAGGCAGCAGUGGGGAAUCUUGCGCAAUGGGGCGAAAGCCUGACGCAGCGACGCCGCGUGGGUGACGAAGGCCUUCGGGUUGUAAAGCCCUGUGGGGGGAGGACGAACCGGGUCGUGGCUAAUAUCCACGGUCCUUGACGGUAUCCCUUUAGCAAGCAUCGGCUAACUCUGUGCCAGCAGCCGCGGUAAGACAGAGGAUGCAAACGUUGCUCGGAAUUACUGGGGCGUAAAAGCGCGCGCAGGUGGUCCGGUAAGUCGGGUGUGAAAUCCCGGGGCUCAACCUCGGAAGUGCACUCGAUACUGCUAGACUUGAGUACUGGAGAGGAGAGCGGAAUUCCCGGUGUAGAGGUGAAAUUCGUAGAUAUCGGGAGGAACACCAGUGGCGAAGGCGGCUCUCUGGACAGAUACUGACACUGAGGCGCGAAAGCGUGGGAAGCAAACAGGAUUAGAUACCCUGGUAGUCCACGCUGUAAACGAUGACGACUGGG
rnacentral:rRNA from 1 species